UCCUACGGGAGGCAGCAGUGAGGAAUAUUGGUCAAUGGGCGAGAGCCUGAACCAGCCAAGUCGCGUGAGGGAGUACUGCCCUAUGGGUUGUAAACCUCUUUUGUCGGGGAGCAAAAGCCGGACGUGUCCGGCUGUGAGAGUACCCGAAGAAAAAGCAUCGGCUAACUCCGUGCCAGCAGCCGCGGUAAUACGGAGGAUGCGAGCGUUAUCCGGAUUUAUUGGGUUUAAAGGGUGCGUAGGCGGGAUGCCAAGUCAGCGGUAAAAAUGCGGUGCUCAACGCCGUCGAGCCGUUGAAACUGGCGUUU
rnacentral:rRNA from 1 species